AGAGACUUGAAGAUGUUAUGCUGUUGACUCUGAAGCUGGAGGAAGGGACCACCAGCCAGAGUGUACUUAGAGGAACUAGAAACAGUGCGGAAGGAGAGCUCUCCCUAGAGGCUACAAAAGAUUGUAUCAUUUUGCACAUAUGUUCAAGAAGUGUGUCCACUCUGCUAGACUCUCCAAAGGAAAAAAGGUCUGUCUUUGAGGCACUCUCAUUUGUAGUGUCUGUUCUAUUUUAUUAAUACUUGCUUUUUUCUUUACUACUGAGUUAUUUUUAUGUAUUCUAUUGUUCACUUUCUAACCAAUGAAUUGGAAGUUUAGUUCUUUAACAGUGUUUCUUUUCUUUCUGUUUAUAGUAUCAGAAGUUAAUUUUAAAUACUUCGGCAUAGAUAAUGUAAUGUUAUACACAUUCUAAUUUAAGUUUAACUCUAAGAGGAAUUAAGUGACUCCAAUAACUAACACACACAACAAUGGUGUUUUGCCUAUAUUUAUUCCUUUAAAAAAUAAAUUUACAAAAUAUAACAUAAAAAGUCCAUCAAAACUAAGAAGAGCAGGGAGUUCCUGUUUUGGCUUAGCAGAAACGAAUCUGACUAGUAUCCAUCAAUCCCUUGCCUAGCUCAGGGGGUUAAUGAUCCAACAUUGCCGUGAGCUGUGGUGUAGGUUGCAGACUUGGUUCAGAUCUGGCAUUGCUCCUAGCCUGGGAACUUCGAUAUACCAUGAGUGCAGCCCUAAGAGGCCAAAAAACAAAAACAAAACAGAACAAAAAACCCAAAAACCAAAAACAAACAAACAAACAAAAAACUAUACUAGGAUGUCAUUUUGUUCUUAGUUUUUAUGAAGAGUCUCUGUGCCUUACUGCUUUGAAUGUACAGCAUUAUUUGGUGUUAGAGUAUUCUCUGAUACUUUCUACUAUAAAAAUUACCUGGUAGCAAGGUCAUAAGAGAAAAGCUUUUUUAAUACCUUUAAGCCUGACAGUUGGCAUCUACCAGUAGCUACAAAAAACAAAAACUCAUAGCUAUGGAUAGUUACGUUAGCUAUUAACAUUUCAUAACAGUGAUAUACGUAUUUAGACAAUGCAUGUCACUCUAGGAACAGUGGAAUCUACCUAACGUGUAUUUCUGAAAGAGUUGUAUUAAAUUCCACUAUUUUACUGAAUUCAUCUAUUUCAUCUUCUGUUUCUUUCAAUUUUUUAUUUAUAUAUAGGUGUAUAAGAUUUAAUGUUUUAUGGUCUUCAUACUCUACUUGUGAUUUUUGUCAUUACUGAUUUACUCAGAUUUGUUAACACCAUCUUAUUUUUUACUUUCUAUUUGUCCUUUUUUCCCUUCCUUUCUUUUUUCCUGCUUUCUUUUGUGUUUAUUUUACUUUUUCUUUUAUUACUGUGGAAAUUAUACUUUUUAUUUCUAGUCUUUUGUUAGAUAUUAUCCAUACACACACAUAUACUAGAUAUUGUUAUGCAUAUUUAAGUUAAAAAAGUUCAAAUUAGUCAUUUGCUUUUACUUCUCUCAAACAAGAUGCAGACUUGAGAAAGUUCAGGCUCCACAAGUUGUUGAUCUGUCUGUCACAUCAGGGCUUUUGUAUUAUGUGUCUGUGAUUCUUGGUUGUGAACACAUGCUCUGUGUAUAUUCCAUAUGGGAAUUUUGAGGCUAAUUUAAAAGUGGGUUCUUCAUGCAAGAAUAUACAGCACAUUCGCUCAAGGAAGCACAAGCUUCAACUUUUUACUUCUCUACAUUUUUAUUUACUCAUACUUUCUGGACUCUUAUUUUUCUUACUUUAAAACAUAACUAUUUUAUAAACAUUUUAAGUAUCUUAGCUUUUUAUAGUGUAUGGUACAUCUAGCUCACUAUAAAGGUAGAAAAGAGAAUCAAUAUGUAAUUCUGUUCUGAAACACUCAUUAAGGAUUUAGGAAUACUAUGAGACAGACAUAUCCAAGGAAUUUUAAUGCAAUUUAUUUUAUUGGCUAAUAGAAUACAUGUAUAUAUAUAUAUAUGUAAAUAUACCCAUAGUAAGUGUUACCAUGGAGUUUUCUCUAUCCUCUACUAUUGAGGGUUUUUUUUUUCCCUAAUAUUUGAGCAAUGAAGAAUUCUAACAUCUUAGAAGAGGCAGAUAAAAGGAGAAAUUAUUACCUGGGUAACCUCUGGUAAAUAACUCCAAGAAGGGCCUUUAUUAUAUAAAUCAGACAAUUGGCAGUUAUGAAAUCCAGCUGGCAUUUUUCAUAUUCAUGACACUGAAUUACAACUUAUUUUUUUCUUUUCUCUAGAGGAACACUAGAAAAUAAUUAAGCAUGUAUAAUUUAUGUGUAUGUGACUGGAAAGAGAAAGAAACUUCCAUUUAUUAAAUAUAUAGAAUUUAUCUCCUUGAAGGGAGUGGCCAAAGCCUGGAAGAACCAUGAAUCUUAAGCAAUAGGGACAGAUAUGAAUCCCAUCUCUUUCAGAUAAAAAACAAAUUAUAAAAAUGGGGAAAUAUCUACAAGCUCUUUAAUUUACAGGAAGGUCACCUGAGCAUCUCCAGGAACAAUCCUCCUCAGGAUAUUUCUCUGAGCAACAGGAAAUUGCCCUCAUUCCACUGGGACAAUAGGCUGAAACACGGGUGUCACUGUAGUUGCUUGUGGCAUUAUUUUCUAGUGAAUGAGAAGCUUUCCCCAGAAGGUGAAGAUGAGGAUAACAUUAUGGAAAAUGGAAACCAAAACCAGAUGAUACUAUUCAACCAAGCAUGCCUAAAUCCAACACUGCUUGUGACUAGUUAGUUUAAUAGGCAAUACAGCCCCUCUUCUUUUAUUCUUAAGUUUUCUCUAUUUUGUUUUUGUUGUUUUAAAACAAAAUCAAUCAUGGUAACAUAAUUUUCCUCUCAUAGGCACCUAACUAUAUGACAUGCUAUAUAUAUAUUUACUGGUAAUAUAUACCCUAUACAUAUAAGCAAAACUAUAAUACUAGUGCCACUAGGUAUAUGAAUAAGCAUAAGAAGUUUUUUUCCUUUUGAAUGAAUUUAAAUCAUAGUUUAUACAUUAUUUUGGAUUUCUUUAUCAUUUAUCAUUAUAUCUGCUUAGGGCAGUUCAUACAAAUCUAAUUAUAUAAGUAGAAAGAGUAACAUAAUGGACAGAAUCAUUUCCUUUUCUAUAAGCACUUAGUUUGCUCAGAUUUUUAUAUAUAUUACAAACAGUGCAGCAAAAUCAUAUCACCAGAUAUAACACUGAUUUUUAACAGGUGGCUAAGUAGUGUAGGAUAAUCAGAAAAAAAGGUAGACAAACAGAUUUUGGCAGAGAUGGCAUCUGUCAUAUCUACCUCAUGGGCUUAUGUGAUUUAUAGAGAUUCUUUGAACCUUAUUAUGUUAAUUUAAAUAUGAGAUAUUUAAACUAUCAAAGAUGGCAAAUCAGUUUCAAUUCAUCUGCACUGGCAUGCUGAAUUGAGAGAGAUGCUGCAGUCAUAUUUGCCACAGUAAGACACAUGCUUUGAAAUAAAGUAUCAGCAAAUAUGUGUCAUCCAGGUCUAGCUCAACAUUUAUGACUAUAACCUAAAGAAUAGUAUGAGACUGAAAUGUUAUGACAAUCAUUUAAAGGAACUACUUUUGUUUAGCUUAGAAAAGGGAAACCAGGGGAAUAUAUUAUUUCAAAUAUUUGACUUGAGUUUCUUAACAUAAAAAGCAAUAAUCAGUUCACCGACAGAGUUAUAUUUUAACUUCAAAAAAGAAAGAAUUUUCUAGAAACAAGAGUGUUUAAUAAUGAAACAAGGUGCUUCUUUAUUGUAUUUAUUGAUAGGAAUGUAGCUCCCUUUUGGAGAUGCUUUAGAAACAACCCGUGUGGGAAAAAUAAAGAACAUUUUUUUUUUGUCGGACACCUUGGUGAUCAUUUUCAUGUACAUCUCAUCAUGGGUAAGUAAGCAAAUUCUCACAUGUAGAAGGCACAAAACUAAUUAUGCCAAACACGGUAGAGUAAAAGGAAGAGCUGAUAAUCAGACUGAAGAGACAAUGGUUCUGGAAUUCACUUCAAACUCAUUUAUCCCAACAGAUAAGCCUAUUUCAAUUAAUUCACAUACACCUUUAAGUUAAUGCUCUGUCAGAAUUUCCACUAUAAAAUAUAAUUUCCAAAGCUUACAUGUCACACUACAAGGGACCUGGGGGUGGGGAGAACUAUGAGGUAAAACAAAGUCAACUGACGUCAGCUUCAGUUUGUUUCUUUUAUUCUGAAAUUGUAUUAAGUCAUGUAGUGAAAAACUGCAGGAAAAGAAAAAUAGUGUACCAGGGAAAAUGAUAUGUUGCCAAGCAUUAAAAGCUUCAAAUUUAAAAGUAAAUAUAUUCACAUUAAAUAAAAAUAUAGGAUAUAAUUUUUAUCAAAAACACAAGGUAAUCACAUUUUAAGAUUAUUUUCUUAAUGGAAAAACCAAGAGAUUCUAAACCUCUGAAAAUGACAACACAAGAAACCACAAAUGUUAAACUACUCUAGAGAAUUUUGACAAGAUUCAAUAAUCUCUUUGCACAAACUUGAAUAAUUUUCUUAGGCCAAAUUUCAGGAGAGUGAUAUUUUAAAUACCGUUAUCAGUUUGGAAAUAUAAUAACUUUAGAGGCAGAAGAGUGCUGAAAGAAAAUAUUAUGCUAUUUCUAACCAUUUUGUGAAGUUAAAGUUGACUGAUGAAUUUAGUACAGUACUUCCCUCCAAACCAUCUUGUCCAAGUCCUAAUUAUCCUGAUUAUUGUAGUGCCUUGCUAUGAAUCUCACCAUCAUCUCAUCCCCAUCUAAUCUACACACUUAAAAAUAUCUCCUUUUAACAGUAUUUUAUUGUAUCCCUCUACUGUUUGAAAAAAAAAAGGCCAGGGCAGAGUUCCCACUGUGGUGCAAUGGAAUCCGUGAAAUCUCUGCAGCACCAGCAAGCAGGUUCAACUUCCGACUGGCACAGUGGAUUACAGGAUACGGCAUUGUCUGGCCUUGGAAUUCCAUUCUGUGGGACAGCCAAAACAAACAGAAACACGCCAGGAUACAUCUUUACCAUACAGUAGGGACCACCAUCUGUGCACCGAUCCAUCCGCACCCCUCAUGAGGAAGGCUUGACUUUGGAACAUCACCAUGUGCUCCCUUUUCGGUCCAUUCCAUCAGGCCUUAGAAGCUCCUCCUGAGAGAUUACUCUAAAUGAGACAAGCAUUUGCAUUUUAAGCCAAGAGGAGAACAGCUGGAGAAAGUUCAAUAGUCAAAAAGGAAAUGGCAACUAAGAUUCAGAAAAAAUAUUUUUUUCCCUUAUAGGUUAUUACAAAAUAUUGAGUAUAGUUCCCUGUGCUAUACAAUAGGCUCUUGUUGGUUAUCUAUUUUAUAUAUGAUAAUGUGUAUAUUUUAAUCCCAACCUCCUGGUUUAUUGCUCCUCUCUUUUUACCCUUUGGUAAUGAUAAGUUUGCUUUCUAUGUCAUGAGUCUAUUUAUAAUUUCAUUUAUAUCAUUUUUUCAGUCUUUUUAGGGCCGCCCUCAAGGCAUAUGGAGGUUCCCAGGCUAGGGGUCGAAUCAGAACUGCAGCUGCUGCCUACACCACAGUCACAGCAACACCAGAUACAACCCACACCUGCGACCAACACCAAGCUCACAGCAACGCCAGAUCCUUAACCCACUGAACGAGGCCAGGGAUUGAACCUGCGUCCUCAUGGAUACUAGUCAGAUUCCUUUCUGCUGAGCCACAACAGGAACUCCAUUCAUUCACACCAUAUUUUUUAGAUUCCAUAUACAAGCAAUAUCAUAAGAUAUCUGUCUUUCUCUGUCUACUUACUUAAUAUGAUGAUCUCUAGGUGCACCCAUGUUGCUGCUGAUAGCGUUAUUUCAUUUUUUCAUUCCAGAAAUGACAUGUUUGCAAACAACAUCAAGAUGGACAAAUCUCCUUCAUUGGAAAGGGGAUGGGGACUUAUCCCCUUUGAUCAACUAUUGAAACUAAAUAAAACAGCUCCUAUUUUUGAUUUGGUUUUUUAAAUUACACCAUGAAAGAAUACAAGAAGAAAGAGGGUGGCAAGUUUUUAGUAAAAAAAUUUAAUUAAUGAAAUGGCCGAUAUACCUGGGAAUGUUCUGCAGAUAAUAAAGAACACACAGGAUGCAGGUUUGGGGCCUCACUCCUUGCCUCUUUCAGGCCUGGCACCUUCGUCUGUUCCUUUGUCUGCACAUGAGAAGGGCAGCUGACUAUGCCUCCGCGCCUUGCCGUCUAAUAACAUCCUUCCAGACUCACCAAUCAGUCAGCACUUUGCUAUUUUUUAAACAUAUCUCUAAAUUAAAAGGGAUUUAGAUUAUUGUGGUAUUUUAAAAUUACUUACCAAUGAUUUUAAUGAAAUAAUUUAUUUCUGUCAAA
rnacentral:lncRNA from 1 species